rnacentral:rRNA from 1 species
CAGCCGCCACGGUAAUACGAAGGGGGCUAGCGUUGUUCGGAAUUACUGGGCGUAAAGCGCACGUAGGCGGAUCGAUCAGUCAGGGGUGAAAUCCCAGGGCUCAACCCUGGAACUGCCUUUGAUACUGUCGAUCUGGAGUAUGGAAGAGGUGAGUGGAAUUCCGAGUGUAGAGGUGAAAUUCGUAGAUAUUCGGAGGAACACCAGUGGCGAAGGCGGCUCACUGGUCCAUUACUGACGCUGAGGUGCGAAAGCGUGGGGAGCAAACAGGAUUAGAUACCCCAGUAGUCCUGUCUCUUAUACA